rnacentral:rRNA from 1 species
UACACUCCUGCGGGAGGCAGCAGUAGGGAAUCUUCGGCAAUGGGGGCAACCCUGACCGAGCAACGCCGCGUGAGUGAAGAAGGUUUUCGGAUCGUAAAGCUCUGUUGUAAGUCAAGAACGAGUGUGAGAGUGGAAAGUUCACACUGUGACGGUAGCUUACCAGAAAGGGACGGCUAACUACGUGCCAGCAGCCGUGGUAAUACGUAGGUCCCGAGCGUUGUCCGGAUUUAUUGGGCGUAAAGCGAGCGCAGGCGGUUUGAUAAGUCUGAAGUUAAAGGCUGUGGCUCAACCAUAGUUCGCUUUGGAAACUGUCAAACUUGAGUGCAGAAGGGGAGAGUGGAAUUCCAUGUGUAGCGGUGAAAUGCGUAGAUAUAUGGAGGAACACCGGUGGCGAAAGCGGCUCUCUGGUCUGUAACUGACGCUGAGGCUCGAAAGCGUGGGGAGCGAACAGGAUUAGAUACCCGGGUAGUCCC